GACGAACGCUGGCGGCGUGCCUAAUACAUGCAAGUAGAACGCUGAAGAGAGGAGCUUGCUCUUCUUGGAUGAGUUGCGCACGGGUGAGUAACGCGUAGGUAACCUGCCUUGUAGCGGGGGAUAACUAUUGGAAACGAUAGCUAAUACCGCAUAACAAUGGAUGACACAUGUCAUUUAUUUGAAAGGGGCAAUUGCUCCACUACAAGAUGGACCUGCGUUGUAUUAGCUAGUAGGUGAGGUAACGGCUCACCUAGGCGACGAUACAUAGCCGACCUGAGAGGGUGAUCGGCCACACUGGGACUGAGACACGGCCCAGACUCCUACGGGAGGCAGCAGGAGGGAAUCUUCGGCAAUGGGGGCAACCCUGACCGAGCAACGCCGCGUGAGUGAAGAAGGUUUUCGGAUCGUAAAGCUCUGUUGUAAGUCAAGAACGAGUGUGAGAGUGGAAAGUUCACACUGUGACGGUAGCUUACCAGAAAGGGACGGCUAACUACGUG
rnacentral:rRNA from 1 species